rnacentral:tRNA from 1 species
GGGCCUGUAGCUCAACGGCAGAGCCGCGGACUUUUAAUCCGUAGGUUGUGGGUUCGAAUCCCACCGGGCCUA